UGGGGUGUGGCUCAGCAGUAGAGCACUUGCCUAGCAUGUGUGAGGCCCUGGGUUCAAUCUUCAGCACCACAA
rnacentral:tRNA from 1 species